rnacentral:rRNA from 1 species
ACGAACGCUGGCGGCGUGCUUAACACAUGCAAGUCGAACGAAGAGCGAUGGAAGCUUGCUUCUAUCAAUCUUAGUGGCGAACGGGUGAGUAACGCGUAAUCAACCUGCCCUUCAGAGGGGGACAACAGUUGGAAACGACUGCUAAUACCGCAUACGAUCUAAUCUCGGCAUCGAGGAUAGAUGAAAGGUGGCCUCUACAUGUAAGCUAUCACUGAAGGAGGGGAUUGCGUCUGAUUAGCUAGUUGGAGGGGUAACGGCCCACCAAGGCGAUGAUCAGUAGCCGGUCUGAGAGGAUGAACGGCCACAUUGGGACUGAGACACGGCCCAGACUCCUACGGGAGGCAGCAGUGGGGAAUCUUCCGCAAUGGACGAAAGUCUGACGGAGCAACGCCGCGUGAGCGAUGACGGCCUUCGGGUUGUAAAGCUCUGUUAAUCGGGACGAAAGGCCUUCUUGCGAAUAGUGAGAAGGAUUGACGGUACCGGAAGAGAAAGCCACGGCUAACUACGUG